rnacentral:misc_RNA from 1 species
GAUGAAGAACGUAGCGAAAUGCGAUAAGUAGUGUGAAUUGCAGAAUUCAGUGAAUCAUCGAAUCUUUGAACGCACAUUGCGCCCUUUGGUAUUCCUUAGGGCAUGCCUGUUCGAGCGUCAUUUAAACCUUCAAGCUAAGCUUGGUGUUGGGUGACUGUCCGCUUCACGGCGGACUCGCCUCAAAAUUAUUGGCGGCCGGUACAUUGGCUUCGAGCGCAGCAGAAACGCGAACUCGGGCCCGUCGUAUUGGCUCCCAGAAGCUAUCUUCACAAUUUUGACCUCGGAUCAGGUAGGGAUACCCGCUGAACUUAAGCAUAUCAAUAAGCGGAA